AACUCUUCUACUUGUCACAUUCCUAAAAAUAAUAUAAAUAACUAUUCAGUAAAAAAAUGCAUCGCUAGAAAAUUAUCAUGAAGAUUAAGUUGAAAGAAACAAUUAAUAAAGCUACAAUUGCUAUAGAUUUUGAAUAAAAGCAAAACAGUGGUGUACUAAUCUUAGAAAUAUACCGAAUACUGCAAAAAUACCAAAAAUAUACCAAAAGUCGUAUUUGGUAUAUCGAUGAAGUAGUUCAUUCGAAAUAUACCAUUGAUGUCAAAAUAUACAAGAUUGUCAAAAAAAGCAAUUGCUAAUGGCAUUAUUAGUUAGCUCUCCAAUUAUGGGCAAGUCAAAGUCAAAGUGAAAACCCUUUUAAAUGUUGCAUACUGUGUCUGCUCCAUUUCGGAAGUUGCACUUCUGCCACAACUCCCGAAAAAGUCACUCGAAAUGCAAACAGACGGCGAGAGCGACACCCUUGACCAGGAGGAGAAGGACAACGCAAUGAUAAUUGCUUGGGACACAUUUCUUAUGCCUGUCGCUGACACUGACGCCUUCUUAGUGGCCACUGGCUAAACUCGGAAUUGGGAUUGGGAUUCCGAAUGAGAAUGGGAAUGGGAAUGGGAUGCGUAAGCUGUUAUCAGCGGAAUUUUAAAGCGCAUCUUGAGAAUAAAAAAAAAGGGAACAUGGACAUGGGCAAUUCAUCGCUGAAGUCUGCGGUCUGUCCGAGCUCUGAGAACUGAGAGCUGAGAACUGGAGGCUGUCUUGGCUAAUUCGCUGGCAUUUUCCUUGUUUCUUUUUUGGUCGCUUCUCUUUUUGUUCCUCAAUUGCCAGCCUGUGUGUGUUUUGGGGGAGUGUGCCAAGAAAUGAAAUUCUUGAUAUCUUUUGUUUGUUGUCACUGCCGACGCUGUCCUAACGCAUCUUUGUCCUUUCGCUUCGUCUCUAAUUAAAAAAAAAAGAGGAAUAAAGUUAAAAGUGCCAGGAGAAGCCGAGUGACCGCACUAAUUAGCCUCAAAGCCAGCAACAUUUAUUUGAAUUUAGCUACCGUUUUGGAGUUGGAAUCUGCUGGCAGUGCAUUUCUUUCAAUAAUUACAACAGUUUCGGUUGCAUUCGCCGAGAUCUCUUUCAAUUUUCGCAUUCUUUGGCUGCUCUUGUCAGUUGUAAAACAAUUCGAUAAAUCUGUAAACAUGUCACAUGCAACCGAAUCAAUUUUCGCAUCAAUUCGUGGGCAUUGUGUGAAAUGAAAUGACAACUUCAACUUCCCAACUUCCCAACUUGAGAGCACAACUCCAAGUCCAACCAAGGACAUUCGGUUGGACAUGUUCGAAGCAGUCCGGUUACGAGGAUAGCAUUUAAAACUAACCGCAAAGCUCAACGUAUCAAAAGUCUCCAAAUAAAAUUGAAAAUGUCAGAGCAGAGACGUGGUCAAGA